rfam:Rhizobium yanglingense strain CCBAT 01603 genomic scaffold C491, whole genome shotgun sequence.
CAACAUGAGAGUUUGAUCCUGGCUCAGAACGAACGCUGGCGGCAGGCUUAACACAUGCAAGUCGAGCGCCCCGCAAGGGGAGCGGCAGACGGGUGAGUAACGCGUGGGAACGUACCCUUUACUACGGAAUAACGCAGGGAAACUUGUGCUAAUACCGUAUGUGCCCUUCGGGGGAAAGAUUUAUCGGUAAGGGAUCGGCCCGCGUUGGAUUAGCUAGUUGGUGGGGUAAAGGCCUACCAAGGCGACGAUCCAUAGCUGGUCUGAGAGGAUGAUCAGCCACAUUGGGACUGAGACAC